GCCAGAGGAGGGAAAACCGAGCUGUCCUGGGUGAGAGAAAGAGCCCUGAGGGGGUGUUUAACAGGAGCAGGAAGGAUCGUCUUAGCUGAGCCGAGAGCACCGCUGACCUUCAGCUUUCUGGUGACAGCGAGGCAUGCUUCACUGCAGAACGGGACACGCGGUCAGGCCCUGCUGACUCCAGCCGGUCAAAAUACUUCUCACAAGAAAGAAGAACCUGUUGUAAAUAACAGCCUUGGCAGAAGUCUUGGACAAAUUUAAAAAGCAUCCUUCUUGAAUGGGAUUGCGGGACUCCAUGUGAUGUAUCGCUUGUCUUUUCACCAAGUCACCUU
ensembl:lncRNA